GCAUUACAGUAGAAGAACAUA
rnacentral:siRNA from 1 species